rnacentral:rRNA from 1 species
UCGAGGAUCUUCGGCAAUGGGCGCAAGCCUGACCGAGCGACGCCGCGUGCGCGAUGAAGGCCUUCGGGUUGUAAAGCGCUGUCGAGGGGGCGGAAAGCCGGGUAACCGGUCUGACUUAUCCCUGGAGGAAGCACGGGCUAAGUUCGUGCCAGCAGCCGCGGUAAGACGAACCGUGCGAACGUUGUUCGGAAUCACUGGGCUUAAAGGGCGCGUAGGCGGCCAACCAAGUCAGGAGUGAAAUCUUUCGGCUCAACCGGAAAAGUGCUCUUGAUACUGGUCGGCUAGAGGGAGAUAGGGGCAUGUGGAACUUCCGGUGGAGCGGUGAAAUGCGUUGAUAUCGGAAGGAACGCCGGUGGCGAAAGCGACGUGCUGGACCUCUUCUGACGCUGAGGCGCGAAAGCCAGGGGAGCGAACGGGAUUAGAUACCCCCGUAGUCC